UUUAAGGUCUAACCUGCCCAAUGAGGAUUUUAAUGGCCGCAGUAUUUUGACUGUGCAAAGGUAGCAUAAUUAUUAGUUUUUUAAUUGAAAGCUUGUAUGAAGGGUUGGACGAGAUAAAAUCUGUCUUUAUUUAAAUUAAAAUAAAAUUUAACUUUUAAGUCAAAAGGCUUAAAUUUUUAUAAAAGACGAGAAGACCCUAUAGAUCUUUAUUUAAUUAAUAUUUUGAUAAUUUAGGAUUAUUUUAAUUUAAAAUUUUAAUUAAAUUUUAUUGGGGUAAUAUAAAGAUUAAAUAAAUUCUUUUUAUUAUUUACAUUGAUUUAUGAAUUUGUGAUCCAAUAUUAUUGAUUAAAAGAUUAAGUUACCUUAGGGAUAACAGCGUAAUUUUUUUGGAGAGCUCAUAUCGAUAAAAAAGUUUGCGACCUCGAUGUUGGAUUAAAAGUUAUCUUGGGUGCAGAAGCUCAAGAUUUUGUUCUGUUCGACCAUUAAAUUUUUACAUGAUCUGAGUUCAGACCGGCGUAAGCCAGGUCGGUUUCUAUCUUUAUAAAAUUAAAAUGUUUUAGUACGAAAGGACCAAAUAUUUGAUAUAAUUAUAUUUAUUUAUUGAAUAAUAUU
rnacentral:rRNA from 1 species